UUCCGCCAAGGCCAUGGUCACGUGGAGGGUGUGGGUGGCGAGUGACUCCAUCCUUCCCCUGACAGAUGGGGAAACUGAGGCCGCGGAGGCGAAGUCUCCCCCUCCAGCCCUCCCACCUCUGUCCCUCGUCAUCUCACCCGUGGCCCUUUCCCUCCGCAGGCCGCCCUGGUGCUCUAUCCCACACCCUCUGCUCAUGAGGCCAUGAGGCACCGACUGGACCGGGGCCAGGUCACCCCUCCCUGCCCGUCCCCCAAUCCAGGGGCUCCCUGCUGCCGCGGGUCUGGGAGCUGAGGGGGCCCUGGAGGCCGGGGUGCUGCUGGGGUGCCUCUGCCCGGGACCGGCCCCUGAGCCAGCCCCCACUGGCCGCCCCUUCUGCAAGGUCUCAUCGAGUCCUGGACUGAGCCCAGCUGGCCCUCGCUGCACGGAUGGGGAAACUGAGGCCUGGGGAGGCAGAGCGGCUGGCCCCCGGCCAUACAGGAAGACCCCGUGCCCUCCGGAACCUCCUGCUUCUGCUGUGGACCCUCCUGGACUGUGGUUUGGGGGGCAGUGCUCAGGGUCCGGGUGAGUGGACUCCGUGGCGAUCGUGGAGUCGCUGUUCCAGCUCCUGCGGCCGGGGGCUCUCGGUGCGCAGCCGCCGGUGCGUCCGGUUCCCUGAGGAGGAGCCGUGCUGGGGGGAUUCCCACGAGUAUCGCCUCUGCCAGUUGCCAGACUGUCCCCCAGGGGCUGUGCCCUUCCGAGACCUCCAGUGUGCCCUCUACAAUGGCCACCCUGUCCUGGGCUCUCAGAAGGCCUACCGAUGGGUGCCCUUCUACGGCGCGCCCAACCAGUGCGACCUCAACUGCCUGGCCGAGGGGCACGCCUUCUACCACAGCUUCGGCCGCGUGCUGGACGGCACCCCCUGCAGCCCGGGUACCCAGGGUCUCUGCGUGGCUGGCCGCUGCCUCAACGCCGGCUGUGACGGUUUGCUCGGCUCGGACGCUCUCGAGGACCACUGCGGCCGCUGCGGCGGCGCCAACGACUCGUGCCUCUUCGUGCAGCGCGUGUUCCGUGACGCCGGUGCCUUCGCCGGGUACUGGAACGUGACCCUGAUCCCCGAGGGCGCCAGACACAUCCGCGCUGCCCACCGGAGCCGCAACCACCUGGCGCUGAUGGGGGGCGACGGGCGCUACGUGCUGAACGGGAAUUGGGCGGUCAGCCCGCCCGGGACCUACGAGGCGGCGGGCACCCUCGUGGUCUACACCCGCGCCGCAGCGGAGGAGACGCUGCACGCGGUGGGGCCCACCUCCCAAGACCUGCUCCUGCAGGUCCUCCUGCAGGAGCCCAACCCCGGCAUUGAGUUCGAGUUCUGGCUCCCUCGGGAGCGCUACGGUCCCUUCCAGGCGCAGGCGCAGGCCCUGGGCUGGUCCCUGCGGCAGCCGCAGCCUCGGGAGGUGGAACCUCAGCCCCCCGAGCCCCACGCAGGGCCCGCUGCCAGCCCCCCGAGGACCCCGACCCCUGCCCCAGACCCCUGCCCACCCUGCCCCGACACCCGCGGUCGCGCCCACCGGCUGCUCCACUAUUGCGGCAGCGACUUUGUGUUCCAGGCCCGCGUGCUCGGCCGCCUCCGCCAGGCCCAGGAGACCCGCUACGAGGUGCGUGUGCAGCUCGUCUACAAGAACCGCUCGCCACUGCAGGCCCUGGAGUACGUGUGGGCGCCGGGCCGCUGCCCCUGCCCACCGCUAGCCCUCCAUCGCGAGUACCUGCUGGCCGCCCGGCGCCUCGUCAGCCCCGAUGGCACUCAGGACCGGCUGCUACUACCCCAUGCUGGCUAUGCCCGGCCCUGGAGCCCUGCUGAGGACAGCCGAAUACGCCUGGUCGCCCGGCACUGCCCUGUCUGAGCCCCUGGACCAGGCCCCCGCCUCACACAGCAAGAAAGACAUGCCUGACCAGGCUCAAACUCAACCUAUUUCUCCUCUUGCCUUGGCUUCCAGGGGGCUCAGAAAUAUCUCCCACCGGAAGCUAUGUGACUCUCUGUCACACACACUUAGACACCCCUUCACGCAGUCAGAUCCACUGUCAUAAGCAGCCCCGCCGUGCGGCAACAUGUGUCCAGUAAUGAUCCUGUCUCAGCAGGCAGCAGAUGUCACAAUGUUUUCCUGAUUUGCUCUUUAGCUUUAAAACAAUUUAAAGAGAGAAGAAAACAUUGCAAUUCUAAAGAUGCUCCAAUUCAGCAAGAGUUCACGCGGCACCAACAGUCGCACUCGCCAAGAGAAAAUAUUAGGCACUGUUUUGCUGCUUUACAUUUAAACGCGAAUAAAAACUCCAGGCGGUUACAUAGACUGACGGCAACGGAGUGACUGAGUUCUGAUUCUGCGUCUCUCCAGUCCCAGCUCUUUUUAUUAUUUACUGUGUCCCCGGAGGAUGCACGGUGCCCUUUUGCGUGAGAGACCCAAACAGCGCCCAGAGACGUCGGUGGCCGCGGCGGAACGUCCUCUCCCAGGAGGCGCCCAGCUGAGCCCUCGCGUGCCGUGCGGAGGGGGACUUCUCCCCAUCGGCUUCCUGCAGGAGGCGGUUCAUAAAAAAUUCAAAUGAGCAAGGUUGAACUUGCAUCUCUGUUACUAAAACAAUGUCAGUUGCCACAAUUGUUUCAUUAGCUCCGGGAAGGAUUGUUGCAACAACGUUGGCUGGCUCCAGGGUCCCGAUGCUCGUCCUGUUGUCUUUAAUUCUCCGCAGACAGGGCAGCCCCAUGUCUGCAGCCGCCUGCCCUCCUCUCCCGGAGACCCUGGCCCAGAGGGCUGACCCCCCGGAGGACACGUGCCAGGUCACAGAGCUGCAGAAAGCCCCGGCCGGUCCUACAGCCCCGGGCUUGGACAGGGGCGUGCGGGGCGAGUGGAGGAGCCGCUUGGGAAGACAGUUGGGCGUGUCUGCUACGGAUGAUGGCCCCUCGCUGUAGUGGGUUGAAUCGCUGGGCCCAUGUCCCAACUCCCAGACCCUGUGAAGGGGACCUUAUCUGGAAAAAGGGACUGUGCAGAUGUGAUUAAAGGUCUCAAGAUGAGGGCUGGCCCCGUGGCUUAGCGGUUAAGUGCGCGCGCUCCGCUGCUGGCGGCCCGGGUUCGGAUCCUGGGCGCGCACCGACGCACCGCUUCUCCGACCAUGCUGAGGCCGCGUCCCACAUACAGCAACUAGAAGGAUGUGCAGCUGUGACAUACAACUAUCUACUGGGGCUUUUGGGGAAAAAAUAAAUAAAUAAAAUUUUAAAAAAAAAGGUCUCAAGAUGAGAUCAUCCUGGAUUAUCCAGGUGGGCCUUAAACCCAAUGACAAAUGUCCUCAUAAGAGACACACAGAGGAGACAGAGAGGCCACGUGUUGAGGGAGGCAGAGACGGGAGGGAUGCGGCCACAAGCCCAGGACGCCUGGAGCCCCCGGAAGCUGGGAGAGGCAGGAAGGACCCUCCGCUGGAGCCUCCGGAGGGAGCGCGGCCCCGCCACACCUCGAUCUCAGGCUUCUGGUCUCCAGAAUGUGAGAGAAUAAAUCUCUGUUGUUUUAAACCCCCAAGUGUGUGGUCAUUUGCUCCGGCCAGCCCAGG